AACGAACGCUGGCGGCAGGCCUAACACAUGCAAGUCGAGCGAAGCCUUCGGGCUUAGCGGCGGACGGGUGAGUAACGCGUGGGAACGUGCCCUUUGGUACGGAAUAGCCCCGGGAAACUGGGAGUAAUACCGUAUGUGGUCAAGAGACGAAAGAUUUAUCGCCAAAGGAUCGGCCCGCGUUGGAUUAGGUAGUUGGUGGGGUAAUGGCCUACCAAGCCGACGAUCCAUAGCUGGUUUGAGAGGAUGAUCAGCCACACUGGGACUGAGACACGGCCCAGACUCCUACGGGAGGCAGCAGUGGGGAAUCUUAGACAAUUGGGGAAACCCUGAGCUAGCCAUGCCGCGUGAUCGAUGAAGGCCUUAGGGUUGUAAAGAUCUUUCAGUGGGGAAGAUAAUGACUGUACCCACAGAAGAAGCCCCGGCUAACUCCGUGCCAGCAGCCGCCGUAAAAC
rnacentral:rRNA from 1 species